rnacentral:lncRNA from 1 species
GAUUUAAGCAUUCAAAAGAUUCUUGUUUCUACAACUAGGCCAACUCCUCAAACAUCCAAACCUUCAACCACUGGGACUAAACUUCCAUCUAUGCAUCAAAUCUUUGGAAUAAGGAAGUGAUUACCUUAACAAUACCAUAUUUGUUAGUUGGCAAAAGGUGAAUGCUUAUUUAUAAUAUUAUUAUGGUACCCUUGUACUCCAAAUUGAUAAAGAUAACUUUUUAAUUUUUGCUUAGAAAUUCUAAAGAAAUUAGUAUUCUAAGCAAUUCAAAUUCUUCAAUUGAAUUCUAGUGUGUUUGGAUGGAGGAAUGUUUUGAGGGUAUUUAAAUUUUUUUGUCUAAAUUCCCUUGUUUGGAUGAUUAAUUUGAAAAAUUUUCAAAAUGAUGGAAUUUUAUGAAGUAUUUUGUUCAAGUUAAAUUUAAGAAAUUUCAAAUGAAACCAAAAAGCUAGGAAUUUGAAAUUCAUUCCUUCCAUGUGUUUCAAAAUUUUCAAAUUGAAACCUAUAAUAUUUUUAAAAUUGCAAAUUGACCCGUAUUUUUUCUUCAAUUUUUGCAACAUGGUCCCUAAAAAUUUGCAAAUUGGUCCGUUAAAAUUAUGAAAAUUACAAAUUGGUCCUUUUUCAAAUUUUAAAUUUGACCCAAAACUUUUCAAAUUUAUAAAAGUGGCUCAAAAUGUUCACAAUAAAAUUUCCUAUUUCUCUAUCCAGACACACAUAGUUAAAAAUGAUGGUAAUUUAAAUACAAUCAUUUAAUUUGAAUUGCUUAGAAUUAUAAAUCCUCUACAAUUUCUAAUUCCUACAUCCAAAGUCCAAACGCACUCUUAAUUUCAAAAUUCUUUUUUUCGGAGAGUAAUAAAAUCCUUUAUUCUUAAUCUUUGUUGGGCUAUUUCUAUAAAAAAAAAAGUUGAGGGAUAAUUUUAAAAUAUGAAAAAAGGGGGACCAAUUUGCAAAAUUUCAAAAUUUAGGAACCAAUUUGAAAAUCUUGAAAAAAUUAAAGGGUUCAUUUUCUAAAAUUUGAAAGAAUUCUAUGGACCAAUUUAAGAUUUUAUUUAUAAAUCAUUCUUUCAUAAUUUUUAAAUAAUAUCUGAAAUUUCUUACGUCAAAAAAGUAAUAUUUGAAAUUUUUUAAAAUUAACUUCGACAAAAUACUUCAUAAAAUUUAUUCAUAUUGAAAAUUCAUCCAAUUUAUCAUCGAAACGAUAAAUUUUACAUAGUAGAAGAAUUUAAAUCAUCCUCUAAAAUUAAAUAUCAUAACAAAAAAUUCUCAUUCAAUUCAAAUACCUUACACCUUUUCUUAUUGUAUUCAACUUCAUAUUUUGCAGAUUGAUGUAAAAGUUGGGCCACUAUUGGAAUAAGAAGGUUUGCACGAAUCAAGGAUAAUGAAUCAGCUAGCUAGUGUAUAUUAUUUGUUUAUUCUAUUGGUUAAUUUAAAUGUGUGUAACUUAUCCUUUGUUGUAGUACCAAC